AUUACCGCGGCUGCUGGCACGAAGUUAGCCGGGGCUUAUUCUCCCGGUACCGUCAUUAUCUUCCCCGACGAAAGAGCUUUACAACCCUAGGGCCUUCAUCACUCACGCGGCAUGGCUGGAUCAGGCUUGCGCCCAUUGUCCAAUAUUCCCCACUGCUGCCUCCCGUAGG
rnacentral:rRNA from 1 species